UACGAGGGGGGCAAGCGUUGUUCGGAAUUAUUGGGCGUAAAGGGCGCGUAGGCGGUGCGGUAAGUCUGAUGUGAAAUCUCCGGGCUCAACUCGGAGUCUGCAUCAGAAACUGCCGUGCUCGAGUGUGGGAGAGGUGAGUGGAAUUCCCGGUGUAGCGGUGAAGUGCGUAGAUAUCGGGAGGAACACCUGUGGCGAAAGCGGCUCACUGGACCACAACUGACGCUGAGGCGCGAAAGCUAGGGGAGCAAACAGG
rnacentral:rRNA from 1 species